rnacentral:rRNA from 1 species
GUGAGGAAUUUUGCGCAAUGGGGGAAACCCUGACGCAGCAACGCCGCGUGGGUGAAGAAGGCCUUCGGGUCGUAAAGCCCUGUCAGGUGGGAAGAAUGUUCCCGGGGUGAAGAGUUCCGGGGGGUGACGGUACCACCAGAGGAAGCACCGGCUAACUCCGUGCCAGCAGCCGCGGUAAUACGGAGGGUGCGAGCGUUGUUCGGAAUCAUUGGGCGUAAAGGGCGUGUAGGCGGCCGGAUCAGUCUGAUGUGAAAGCCCGGGGCUCAACCCUGGAAGUGCAUUGGAUACUGUUCGGCUUGAGUACUGGAGAGGACGGGGGAAUUCCCGGUGUAGAGGUGAAAUUCGUAGAGAUCGGGAGGAAUACCAGUGGCGAAGGCGCCCGUCUGGACGGAUACUGACGCUGAGACGCGAAAGCGUGGGGAGCAAACAGGAUUAGAUACCCCAGUAGUCC